UCAGAAUGAACGCUGGCGGCAUGCCUAACACAUGCAAGUCGAACGAAUGCCCUUCGGGGUGUUAGUGGCGCACGGGUGCGUAACGCGUGGGAAUCUGCCCUUGGGUUCGGAAUAACAGUUGGAAACGACUGCUAAUACCGGAUGAUGACGUAAGUCCAAAGAUUUAUCGCCCAGGGAUGAGCCCGCGUAGGAUUAGGUAGUUGGUGUGGUAAAGGCGCACCAAGCCGACGAUCCUUAGCUGGUCUGAGAGGAUGAUCAGCCACACUGGGACUGAGACACGGCCCAGACUCCUACGGGAGGCAGCAGUGGGGAAUAUUGGACAAUGGGCGAAAGCCUGAUCCAGCAAUGCCGCGUGAGUGAUGAAGGCCUUAGGGUUGUAAAGCUCUUUUACCCGGGAUGAUAAU
rnacentral:rRNA from 1 species